rnacentral:rRNA from 1 species
GACGAACGCUGGCGGCGUGCUUAACACAUGCAAGUCGAACGGAAAGGCCCUGCUUUUGUGGGGUGCUCGAGUGGCGAACGGGUGAGUAACACGUGAGUAACCUGCCCUUGACUUUGGGAUAACUUCAGGAAACUGGGACUAAUACCGGAUAGGAGCUCCUGCUGCAUGGUGGGGGUUGGAAAGUUUCGGCGGUUGGGGAUGGACUCGCGGCUUAUCAGCUUGUUGGUGGGGUAGUGGCUUACCAAGGCUUUGACGGGUAGCCGGCCUGAGAGGGUGACCGGCCACAUUGGGACUGAGAUACGGCCCAGACUCCUACGGGAGGCAGCAGUGGGGAAUAUUGCACAAUGGGCGGAAGCCUGAUGCAGCAACGCCGCGUGCGGGAUGACGGCCUUCGGGUUGUAACCCGCUUUCGCCUGUGACGAAGCGUGAGUGACGGUAAUGGGUAAAGAAGCACCGGCUAACUACGUG